rnacentral:rRNA from 1 species
CCUACGGGAGGCAGCAGUGAGGAAUAUUGGUCAAUGGACGAGAGUCUGAACCAGCCAAGUAGCGUGAAGGAUGACUGCCCUAUGGGUUGUAAACUUCUUUUAUAAAGGAAUAAAACGAGGCACGUGUGCGUUUUUGCAUGUACUUUAUGAAUAAGGAUCGGCUAACUCCGUGCCAGCAGCCGCGGUAAUACGGAGGAUCCGAGCGUUAUCCGGAUUUAUUGGGUUUAAAGGGAGCGUAGAUGGGUUGUUAAGUCAGUUGUGAAAGUUUGCGGCUCAACCGUAAAAUUGCAAUUGAAACUGGCAGUCUUGAGUACAGUUGAGGUAGGCGGAAUUCGUGGUGUAGCGGUGAAAUGCUUAGAUAUCACGAAGAACCCCGAUUGCGAAGGCAGCUUACUAGACUGUGACUGACAUUGAUGCUCGAAAGUGUGGGUAUCAAACAGGAUUAGAUACCCUUGUAGUC